AUGAUACCGUCGGGAGACGUCUUACACAGGAGGAGCAUGUCAACGACGAGGGCAUGUGGAUUGUGCGGGACAACCGAUUCUUGGAGACAUGCACUGUUGAACUGUCCGGUGGCGAGAUGCACGUGGGUGCUUUCUUCGGACGACAUACUGGACCAACUAAGUUCUCAGCAGCAAGAGUGCCCAAAAAUGUGGUUAUUUGCUAUGAUGAGAGCUCUUAAACCUGAUGACUUUAUUCGGUUUUCAGUUUCAUUGUGGGCUAUAUGGGGUGCAAGGAGGAAAGCUUUGUAUGAAGGCAUUUUCAAAUCACCACAGACGACACAUGGGUUUAUAAAUUCUUAUAUAACUGGUUUUCAGAUCAUAGCCUCAAAUAUAGAAGCAUCAGGGGGUGGAAAUGUGCAACAUCCGGUCUGGAUCGCUCCUCCUGGAGGCUAUGCAAAGCUGGAUGUUGACGCUGCUGUAGGAUGCAGAAGCCGUUUUGGAGCUGUGGCGGCAAUAUGCCGGGACUGGGAAGGAAUCUUUCUUGGGGCGUCGGCCUUUAUUUUCAAGCAUGUCAAAGAUCCAGCCACUCUAGAAGCUUUGGCGAUAAGAGUGGGCCUUGAUCUUGCAGCAGAUUUACAUAUACCAAGGGUACAUGCAGCUACAGAUUGCAAGGGUGUGGCAAGUGAGAUCGGCAGGAGAAGCAGUGCGGUGUUUGGUGUAGUGAUUAGGGAGAUCGAGAUGCAAGCUUCUUCUUUUAUUUCUUGUAAAGUAGUUUAUCAGUCUGGGACCUCAAACUUUGAUGCUCACAACUUAGCAAAGCAUGCUUUAACUUUGAGUGUUGGCCGCCAUGUCUGGUUAGGCCAGCGCGAAGGUAUUCCUUUCGUCCCUGUAAACAUUGUGACGACGUAA
rnacentral:rRNA from 1 species